rnacentral:rRNA from 1 species
CCUACGGGUGGCAGCAGUGAGGAAUAUUGGUCAAUGGCCGGAAGGCUGAACCAGCCAUGCCGCGUGAAGGUCAGUGCCCUAUGGGCGUUAAACUUCUUUUGUGCGGGAGCAAUAAUGGUCACGUGUGGCCAGACGAGAGUACCGUAUGCAUACGCAUCGGCUAACUACGUGCCAGCAGCCGCGGUAAUACGGGGGAUGCAAGCGUUAUCCGGAUUUAUUGGGUGUAAAGGGUGCGUAGGCUGUGAGGUAGGUCAGCGGUGAAAUGCCACCUCUCAACGGGUUGAAGUGCCAUUGAUACUGCCUUGCGGGAAUGCGGAUGCCGUAGGGGGAAUGUGUGGUGUAGCGGUGAAAUGCAUAGAUAUCACACAGAACACCGAUUGCGAAGGCAUCUCACGAAUCCGCGAUUGAGGCUGAUGCACGAAAGCGUGGGUAUCAAACAGGAUUAGAUACCCGAGUAGU